rnacentral:sRNA from 1 species
CCCAGGACUCACGUCCUGGGCCACAUUCUGACGCUCCUCCGGAGCU